AGCUACGCCCACGCUACCCUGAACAAGCCCAAUCCUGUCUGAUCUCGGAAGCUAAGCAGGGUCAGGCCUGGUUAGUACUUGGAUGGGAGACCACCUAGGCAGACCAGGUGCUGUAGGUG
rnacentral:rRNA from 1 species